GGUUGACCUCGGAUCAGGUAGGGAUACCCGCUGAACUUAAGCAUAUCAAUAAGCGGAGGAAUCCCGCGGCCAUGGCGGCCGGGAGCAUGCGACGUCGGGCCCAAUUCGCCCUAUAGUGAGUYCGUAUUA
rnacentral:rRNA from 1 species